rnacentral:rRNA from 1 species
UUCCGGUUGAUCCUGCCGGACCUGACUGCUAUCGGAUUGAUACUAAGCCAUGCGAGUCAUUGUAGCAAUACAAGGCAUACGGCUCAGUAACGCGUAGUCAACCUAACCUAUGGACGGGAAUAACCUCGGGAAACUGAGAAUAAUGCCCGAUAGAACAUUAUGCCUGGAAUGGUUUAUGUUCCAAAUGAUUUAUCGCCGUAGGAUGGGACUGCGGCCUAUCAGUUUGUUGGUGAGGUAAUGGCCCACCAAGACUAUUACAGGUACGGGCUCUGAGAGGAGUAGCCCGGAGAUGGGUACUGAGACACGGACCCAGGCCCUAUGGGGCGCAGUAGGCGAGAAAACUUUGCAAUGUGCGAAAGCACGACAAGGUUAAUCCGAGUGGUUUCUGCUAAAGAAACCUUUUGUCAGUCCUAGAAACACUGAUGAAUAAGGGGUGGGCAAGUUCUGGUGUCAGCCGCCGCGGUAAAACCAGCACCUCAAGUGGUCAGGAUGAUUAUUGGGCCUAAAGCAUCCGUAGCCGGCUCUGUAAGUUUUCGGUUAAAUCUGUACGCUCAACGUACAGGCUGCCGGGAAUACUGCAGAGCUAGGGAGUGGGAGAGGUAGACGGUACUCGGUAGGAAGGGGUAAAAUCCUUUGAUCUAUUGAUGACCACCUGUG